CUUUGAGCUCCUUCUCAACCUCUAAAGCCGCGUGGAAGAUGUCAUCUACGGUGUUGAAUUUGUGAAGCGUCAUGCGAGUGGAGAUGUCCUUGUUUAACCCAACCUUGAAGCGCACAAUGUCAUGACUUACUUGCUCGCCUAGGUGGUCAAGUUUCAACAUCAAUUGUUGAAAUUCAUCAUAGGAAGCCAUGACACUCUUGCUCC
rnacentral:lncRNA from 1 species